GUGAACGCUGGCGGUAGGCCUAACACAUGCAAGUCGAACGGCAGCACAGUAAGAGCUUGCUCUUACGGGUGGCGAGUGGCGGACGGGUGAGGAAUACAUCGGAAUCUACUUUUUCGUGGGGGAUAACGUAGGGAAACUUACGCUAAUACCGCAUACGACCUACGGGUGAAAGCAGGGGAUCUUCGGACCUUGCGCGAUUGAAUGAGCCGAUGUCGGAUUAGCUAGUUGGCGGGGUAAAGGCCCACCAAGGCGACGAUCCGUAGCUGGUCUGAGAGGAUGAUCAGCCACACUGGAACUGAGACACGGUCCAGACUCCUACGGGAGGCAGCAGUGGGGAAUAUUGGACAAUGGGCGCAAGCCUGAUCCAGCCAUACCGCGUGGGUGAAGAAGGCCUUCGGGUUGUAAAGCCCUUUUGUUGGGAAAGAAAAGCAGCAGGUUAAGACCCCGCUGUUCUGACGGGACCCAAAGAAUAAGCACCGGCGAACUUCGU
rnacentral:rRNA from 1 species